UAGAUCAUAACCUCCCAUUAAGGUAUGUGAUAAUAAAUCUAAUAUUUUAAAUAGGUAUUGAAGGCACCACACGUCUGGUAUCUAUUAUGUAUUGGAAUUAUCAUCCAUCAUAUGACCAUCUUGUUGUAUCUUCAAAACAAUGCUCAGAUUGGUCGAGCCACACUCGGACCUAAACAUCUGUUUGUUGGAUGCACUUGAUGUUGUCAUAUUAAUUGUUGGACUUAACC
rnacentral:lncRNA from 1 species